rnacentral:ncRNA from 1 species
AAGGGACAUCCAGCCCAAAAAAGAAUGAGCCGGCAGCGCCUGACAAAGCGCGGCCGGC